UACGAGGGGGGCGAGCGUUGUUCGGAAUUAUUGGGCGUAAAGGGUGCGUAGGCGGUUUGGUAAGUCUCUUGUGAAAUCUAUGGGCUCAACUCAUAGUCUGCAAGGGAAACUGCCGGGCUUGAGUCCGGGAGAGGUGAGUGGAACUGCGAGUGUAGAGGUGAAAUUCGUAGAUAUUCGCAAGAACACCAGUGGCGAAGGCGGCUCACUGGCCCGGUACUGACGCUGAGGUGCGAAAGCCAGGGGAGCAAACGGG
rnacentral:rRNA from 1 species